rnacentral:lncRNA from 1 species
UUUAGGGGUUUCACCCCAUUUAAGGGGUACCCCCCAGUUUAGGGGUCAGCCCCAGUUUGGGGAUUGCCCCCUGUGAAUUUUGGGGUCCCCCAAAAGUUCAAUUCAGGGGUUUCCCCUCAAACCUGAGGGUGUUUCCAACUUCAGGGCUGACCCCAAUUUUGGGCUGACCCCAAAUUUGGCCACCACCAUCCUUUGGUGUCACCACAAUUUCAGGGUGACCCCAAUUCCAGGGUCACCCCAACAGUCUGGGGGGACCUGGGGGGUGACAACAGCCCUGUCCCCACCACAACUUGGGCGUUUGGGGGUGACAACCCCAACCCCAUUUCCAUCUGGGGGUGACAACCCCGUCACCGUUGGGUAUUGGGGUCACCCCCACAACUUGUGGGGUUUUUGGGGCGACAACCCCAUUGCCAUGGAAACUCGGGUGUCAUACCCACAGCCAGAUUUGGGUUUUUGGUUUUUGGGGGGCGACACCCCGGACCCCAUUGCAGUGCGGGGGUCUGAGGGGGUGACGCCGCCAUUGCUGUGGAAAUUUUGGGGUCACCCCCAUGGUGACAACAACCCCGACCCCAUAUCCAUGUGGGGGUUUUGGGGGUGACAACAACCCCAACCCCAUGAGAAUUUUGGGGUUGGGGGGUGACAACCACCACAUCCCCAAAAUCAAUUCUGGGUCACCCCCACGGUCUGUGGGGGUUUUUGGGGUGACAACAACCCUGACCCUGUAUCCAUGUGGGGUUUUUGGGGGGUGACAACAACCCCGUCCCCACAUGGAUCCGGGGCUCACCCCCACGGCCUGGGGGGGUUUUUUGGGGGAUGACAACAACCCCGACCCCGUAUCCAUGUGGGGAUUUUGGGGUGACAACAGCUCCAUCCCCACAUGGAUCCGAGGGGUUUUUUGGGGGUGCCACCCCCGUCCCCACAGGCGGAGCCCUCAGUUGUCGUCGUCGCUGUCGUCGGGGCUGAUGGCCGGGCUGGUGAGGCUGUAGGUGGGCGAGGUGGGGCUGUAGGCGGGGGACGUCGGGCUGUAGCUGGGGGACAUGGCCCCACCUGCGGAGAGGGGACACGGGGGUCAGGAGGGUGUUGCGGGGCUGUUGGUGGUGUUGGGGUGUUGUGGGUCGCUUGGAGGUGUUGUUCAGGUGUUGUGGAGCUCAGUGAGGGGGUGUUAUGGGGCUGGCUUGGGAUGUUUCAGGGUGUUGUUAGGGGUUACAGGGUAUUUGGAGUAUUUGAGGUUAUUUUAGGGUGUUUUGGGGUGUUGCUACAGGUUACAGGGUGUUUCAUGUGUGUUUUGGGUUAUUUUAGGGGUAUUUUAGGGUGCUACAGGGUGUUUGAGGUGUUUCAGUGUGUUUUGGGCUGUUGUUAGGGGUUACAGGGCAUUUUGGAUUAUUUUCGGGAUAUUUUAGGGUGUUAUGGGGUGUUAGGGGUGUUUCAGCGUGUUUUCAGGUGAUGUUA